GACGAACGCUGGCGGCGUGCCUAACACAUGCAAGUCGAACGGAGAUAUGAUUUCGGUUGUAUCUUAGUGGCGAACGGGUGAGUAACGCGUGAACAACCUGACUCUAAGAGGGGGAUAACACUCGGAAACGGGUGCUAAUACCGCAUAAGACCACGACCCGGCAUCGGGAUGAGGUCAAAGGAGCAAUCCGCUGAGAGAGGGGUUCGCGUCCCAUUAGAUAGAUGGCGGGGUAACGGCCCACCAUGUCAACGAUGGGUAGCCGAGCUGAGAGGCUGAUCGGCCACACUGGAACUGAGACACGGUCCAGACUCCUGCGGGAGGCAGCAGUGGGGAAUAUUGGGCAAUGGGCGCAAGCCUGACCCAGCAACGCCGCGUGAGGGAAGAAGGCUUUCGGGUUGUAAACCUCUGUCCUUGGUGACGAAACAAAUGACGGUAGCCAAGGAGGAAGCCCCGGCUAACUACGUGCCAGCCGCCGCCGUAA
rnacentral:rRNA from 1 species